rnacentral:rRNA from 1 species
AUUGAACGCUGGCGGCAUGCCUUACACAUGCAAGUCGAACGAGUGGCGAACGGGUGAGUAAUACAUCGGAACGUGUCCUGGCGUGGGGGAUAGCCCGGCGAAAGCCGGAUUAAUACCGCAUACUCAAGGGGCGGCCGAUGGCCGAUUAGCUAGUUGGUGGGGUAAAGGCCUACCAAGGCCACGAUCUGUAGCUGGUCUGAGAGGACGACCAGCCACACGGGGACUGAGACAGGGCCCAGACUCCUACGGGAGGCACAAGGGGGGAAUUUUGGACAAGGGGCGCAAGCCUGAUCCAGCAAUGCCGGGUGUGUGAAGAAGGCCUUCGGGUUGUAAAGCACUUUUGUCCGGAAAGCGGUACCGGAAGAAUAAGCACCGGCUAAUUACUUGCCAGCAGCCGCGUAAUAC